rnacentral:rRNA from 1 species
AACGCGAAGAACCUUACCCAGGCUUGACAUGCAGAGGACAGUACCAGAGAUGGUAUCUCCCGAAAGGGUCUCUGCACAGGUGCUGCAUGGCUGUCGUCAGCUCGUGCCGUGAGGUGUUGGGUUAAGUCCCGCAACGAGCGCAACCCUUAUCAUUAGUUGCCAACACGUAAUGGUGGGAACUCUAAUGAGACUGCCUGGGUUAACCAGGAGGAAGGUGAGGAUGACGUCAAGUCCGCAUGGCCCUUAUGUCUGGGGCUACACACGUGCUACAAUGGCCGGUACAGAAGGCAGCGAAACCGCAAGGCGGAGCAAAUCCAGAAAGCCGGCCCCAGUUCAGAUUGUAGUCUGCAACUCGACUACAUGAAGAUGGAAUUGCUAGUAAUGGCGAGUCAGCAACAUCGCCGUGAAUACGUUCCCGGGCCUUGUACACACCGACUGUAC